rfam:Phanerochaete carnosa HHB-10118-sp unplaced genomic scaffold PHACAscaffold_8, whole genome shotgun sequence.
GCCGUCGUGGCUCAAUGGCUAGGGCGUCGCUUUCCUAUGGCGAAUCCCGCUCGCAGGAAUAGGCGAAGAUUGCGGGUUCGAGUCCCGUCGUCGGUA